UACGAAGGGGGCUAGCGUUGCUCGGAAUUACUGGGCGUAAAGGGAGCGUAGGUGGACAGUUUAGUCAGAGGUGAAAGCCCAGGGCUCAACCUUGGAAUUGCCUUUGAUACUGGCUGUCUUGAGUACGGAAGAGGUAUGUGGAACUCCGAGUGUAGAGGUGAAAUUCGUAGAUAUUCGGAAGAACACCAGUGGCGAAGGCGACAUACUGGUCCGUUACUGACACUGAGG
rnacentral:rRNA from 1 species